CAAGGCCAUUGAUCAUCCUGAAAUAGGUGUACACUUAAAAGUUGGAAGUGUGAUAAUCCUACAAGAUGUUUCAAUUUUUUCACCAAUACGUGAAACAUACUAUCUUAACAUAACUCUGAGGAAUAUUGUCAAGGUUUUUGGAAGUGAUAUUGGGGGCCCAACUGAUGACCUACUACGUCUAUCAAUACCAAUUGAUACCAACAAGCCUCCAACACGCUCCGUUGAUGACAUUCUAUCGAAAUUGAUUCCACCUCUUCACAAA